UACGGAGGGUGCGAGCGUUGUCCGGAAUCACUGGGCGUAAAGGGCGCGUAGGCGGCCUGAUAAGUAGGGGGUGAAAUCCUGCGGCUUAACCGCAGGGCUGCCUUCUAAACUGUCAGGCUCGAGCACAGUAGAGGCAGGUGGAAUUCCCGGUGUAGCGGUGGAAUGCGUAGAGAUCGGGAAGAACAUCAGUGGCGAAGGCGGCCUGCUGGGCUGUUGCUGACGCUGAGGCGCGACAGCGUGGGGAGCAAACGAGG
rnacentral:rRNA from 1 species